AGUGAACGCUGGCGGUAGGCCUAACACAUGCAAGUCGAACGGCAGCACAGUAAGAGCUUGCUCUUACGGGUGGCGAGUGGCGGACGGGUGAGGAAUACAUCGGAAUCUACUUUUUCGUGGGGGGUAACGUAGGGAAACUUACGCUAAUACCGCAUACGACCUACGGGUGAAAGCAGGGGAUCUUCGGACCUUGCGCGAUUGAAUGAGCCGAUGUCGGAUUAGCUAGUUGGCGGGGUAAAGGCCCACCAAGGCGACGAUCCGUAGCUGGUCUGAGAGGAUGAUCGGCCGCACUGGAACUGAGACACGGUCCAGACUCCUACGGGAGGCAGCAGUGGGGAAUAUUGGACAAUGGGCGCAAGCCUGAUCCAGCCAUACCGCGUGAGUGAAGAAGGCCUUCGGGUUGUAAAGCCCUUUUGUUGGGAAAGAAAAGCAGCAGGUUAAUACGCCGCUGUUCUGACGGUACCCAAAGAAUAAGCACCGGCUAACUUCGUG
rnacentral:rRNA from 1 species